GCCAGCUUUGCAUAGCGAUUUGAGUGCUGGACUAUAACUCUGGAGACCAGGGUUCGAUUCCUGGCUUGGCC